rnacentral:rRNA from 1 species
CCUAACACAUGCAAGUCGAACGGUAGAGUAGCAAUACUUGAGAGUGGCGAACGGGUGAGUAAUAUAUCGGAACGUGCCCAGUCGUGGGGGAUAACGUAGAGAAAUUUACGCUAAUACCGCAUACGAUCUAAGGAUGAAAGCGGGGGACCGUAAGGCCUCGCGCGAUUGGAGCGGCUGAUAUCAGAUUAGGUUGUUGGUGAGGUGAAAGCUCACCAAGCCGACGAUCUGUAGCUGGUUUGAGAGAACGACCAGCCACACUGGGACUGAGACACGGCCCAGACUCCUACGGGAGGCAGCAGUGGGGAAUUUUGGACAAUGGGCGAAAGCCUGAUCCAGCAAUGCCGCGUGCAGGAAGAAGGCCUUCGGGUUGUAAACUGCUUUUGUAC